GAUGAACGCUGGCGGCGUGCCUAAUACAUGCAAGUCGAGCGAACAGAGGGGGAGCUUGCUCCUCUGACGGUAGCGGCGGACGGGUGAGUAACACGUGGAUAACCUACCUAUAAGACUGGGAUAACUUCGGGAAACCGGAGCUAAUACCGGAGAAUAUAUUGAACCGCAUGGUUCAAUAGUGAAAGACGGUUUUGCUGUCGCGUAUAGAUGGAUCCGCGCCGCAUUAGAUAGUUGGUAAGGUAACGGCUUACCAAGGCAACGAUGCGUAGCCGACCUGAGAGGGUGAUCGGCAACACUGGAACUGAGACACGGUCCAGACUCCUACGGGAGGCAGCAGUAGGGAAGCUUACGCAAUGGGAGAAAGCCUGACGGAGCAACGCCGCGUGAGUGAUGAAGGUCUUCGGAUCGUAAAACUCUGCUAUUAGGGAAGAAAAAAUGUGUAAGUAACUAUGCACGUCUUGACGGUACCUAAUCAGAAAGCCACGGCUAACUACGUG
rnacentral:rRNA from 1 species